UACGUAGGGGGCAAGCGUUGUCCGGAAUUAUUGGGCGUAAAGCGCGUGCAGGCGGCGGAUUAAGUCGGAUGUUUAAGAUCGGGGCUCAACCCCGAUUCGCAUCCGAAACUGGCCCGCUUGAGUGUAGGAGAGGAAAGUGGAAUUCCACGUGUAGCGGUGAAAUGCGUAGAGAUGUGGAGGAACACCAGUGGCGAAGGCGACUUUCUGGCCUAUAACUGACGCUGAGGCGCGAAAGCGUGGGGAGCAAACAGG
rnacentral:rRNA from 1 species